rnacentral:snRNA from 1 species
AGCUUUGCGCAGUGGCAGUAUCGUAGCCAAUGAGGUUUAUCCGAGGCGCGAUUAUUGCUAAUAACAGAAAAUAAUUAAUACAAGAAGGGCUCUUACCUUGGCUCUUUUCCUGGCAUGACCAUGGUU